GAGUUUGAUCAUGGCUCAGAUUGAACGCUGGCGGCAUGCCUUACACAUGCAAGUCGAGCGGCAGCGCGGGGGCAACCCUGGCGGCGAGCGGCGAACGGGUGAGUAAUACAUCGGAACGUGUCCAGUAGCGGGGGAUAACCUCUCGAAAGAGAGGCUAAUACCGCAUACGACCUACGGGUGAAAGCGGGGGACCGCAAGGCCUCGCACUAUUGGAGCGGCCGAUGUCGGAUUAGCUAGUUGGCGGGGUAAAAGCCCACCAAGGCGACGAUCCGUAGCUGGUCUGAGAGGACGAUCAGCCACACUGGAACUGAGACACGGUCCAGACUCCUACGGGAGGCAGCAGUGGGGAAUUUUGGACAAUGGGGGCAACCCUGAUCCAGCCAUGCCGCGUGAGUGAAGAAGG
rnacentral:rRNA from 1 species